CGGGAAGGCCCGCCGAGGCUGCCCAGCCGGAGGCCGCCGGCCCGAUGGAGGAGAUGGAGGAAGAGCUCAAGUGCCCGGUGUGCGGCUCCUUCUACCGCGAGCCCAUCCUGCUGCCCUGCUCGCACAACCUGUGCCAGGCGUGCGCCCGCAACAUCCUGGUGCAGACGCCCGAGGCCGAGUCCCCGCGCAGCCGGCGCGCCUCGGGCUCCGGCGCCUCCGACUACGACUACCUGGACCUGGACAAGAUGAGCCUCUACAGCGAGGCGGACAGCGGCUACGGCUCCUACGGCGGCUUCGCCAGCGCGCCCACCACGCCGAGCCAGAAGUCCCCCAACGGCGUGCGCGUCUUCCCGCCCGCCGUGCCGCCGCCCGCCGCCCACCUGUCGCCCGCGCUGGCCCCGGUGCCCCGCAACUCGUGCAUCACCUGCCCGCAGUGCCACCGCAGCCUGGUGCUGGACGACCGGGGGCUGCGCGGCUUCCCCAAGAACCGCGUGCUGGAGGGCGUCAUCGACCGCUACCAGCAGAGCAAGGCCGCGGCGCUCAAGUGCCAGCUCUGCGAGAAGGCGCCCAAGGAGGCCACCGUCAUGUGCGAGCAGUGCGACGUCUUCUACUGCGACCCGUGCCGCCUGCGCUGCCACCCGCCGCGCGGGCCGUUGGCCAAGCACCGGCUGGUGCCCCCGGCGCAGGGCCGCGUGAGCCGGCGGCUGAGCCCGCGCAAGGUGUCCACCUGCACGGACCACGAGCUGGAGAACCUCAGCAUGUACUGCGUGCAGUGCAAGGUGCCGGUGUGCUACCAGUGCCUGGAGGAGGGCAAGCACUCCAGCCACGAGGUCAAGGCUCUGGGGGCCAUGUGGAAGCUGCACAAG